AUUUGGUUAGUGGCAGACGGGUGAGUAAUGCAUAGGAAUCUACCUAGUAGUAUGGGAUAGCCACUGGAAAUGGUGGGUAAUACCGUAUAAUCCCCGCGGGGGAAAGAUUUAUCGCUAUUAGAUGAGCCUAUGUCGGAUUAGCUAGUUGGUGGGGUAAUGGCCUACCAAGGCAGUGAUCUGUAGCUGGUCUGAGAGGAUGAUCAGCCACACUGGAACUGAGACACGGUCCAGACUCCUACGGGAGGCAGCAGUGGGGAAUAUUGGACAAUGGGCGCAAGCCUGAUCCAGCUAUGCCGCGUGAGUGAGGAAGGCCUUAGGGUUGUAAAACUCUUUCAGUAGGGAAGAUAAUGACGGUACCUA
rnacentral:rRNA from 1 species